rnacentral:lncRNA from 1 species
UUUUUUUAAGUAGGCUCCACACCCAACAUGGAGCCCAAUGUGGGGUUCCAACCCAUAACCCUAAGACCAAGACCUAAGCCAAGAUCAAGAAUCAAAUGCUUAACCAACUGAGCUAUCCAGAUAUCCUUGCCUAAGUUUUGAUAAAUAAUAUUUUUCAAGGAACUUUUCAUUUGACCUAUAUUUUCUUUCUCUUUUAAAGAUUUAUUUAUUGAAGAGAGGGAGAGGGCACACGCUGCACAUCAUAAAAGUGCAUGAGCAUGGGGGAAAGUGUAGAAGGAGAGGGAGAAAGUCUUAAGCAAAUUCCUGCUGAGCACUGAGCCUGAUGCAUGGCAAGGAGCUCCACGUGGGGCUUAAUCUCAUGAUACUGAGAUCACAACCUGAGCCAAAACCAAGAGUGAGCGGCUCAACUGACUGUGCUGCCCACACACUCCCACAUAUUUAAUAAAGUAAUGCUUAUUUUUUAUAUAGAUUUUUAGUACCUUUUCUCUUGAUCCUUCUUAUCACUUAUCUCUUGUAUUAGUCUAUUCUCUUACUUUCAAACCUUUUGUAUUCUUGUGUUUUAGAUGUAUCUUCUUUAUGUAAAGAGCAAAUAUUUCAGUUUUUGAAAAAUCCUAUUUGAAAAUCUCUGUGUUAUAACAACAGAAUUUAGUUCAUUUUAUGUAGUAACUGAUCUCUCUGGGUUUAAACCUACCAUCUUACAGUGUGUUAUCCUUCCUGUUUUUCCUUUUCUUGCCUUUUUAAAAAACUAAUCACAUUCCAUUUUUUCCAUUACUUUGAAAAACAUACAGAACUUUCCUAUUAUCCUCUUAGUUUCCCUAGAAACUACAAUAUACUCUCUUCCUGAAUAGCACAAUAUAUAGAUAGAAUAUUUUAACUCUACUAUUGUGAUUUAUGUGCUACAGUUGUUGCCAUAUAUAUUAAUAUUAAUGCACACUUUUUAUUAUAUUAAAAUAGUCUGGCAAUAAAAAGGCUGCUUAUAGAAUACUGUUAGGUUAAACUUUACUUACAGGAUGUUAAAUCCUUAGAAUUAAGGUUUCCCCCAGAAAAAGAUUAAUGAAAACACUGAUUGCUUUUCAGAUUUGAUAGUCACUGCUUCAAAAGGUGGUUUUACCUGAAUAAAACAAACAAAGCCUGAAUAAAAACCAAAAAACUUCAGAACACAAUUAACACUUUUAUUUCAGUAUGCAUCCACAUCUCAGUAUUUAGUGGUCCUGAACAGAAAAGUGGAAAAAUGCAGCAAUUUGCCAGGAAGUUAAGCCCACCAAUUUCAGGGAUCUGCUGUGCACACUGAGUUCUUUCUUAAUCUCUGCUGAGGACCAUGAUCAUAAAGCAGCAGCAUCAAAAACAAAAUAUGCACCAAAUUCAACGUUCUUUUCGUUCCAGUUGUCAGAUUCCAAACGAGACCCACGUGGAUUCCAAGACGACCAAAUGAGAACUCUGUUUAAAACCUCAAGUUUUAAAAGCAAAAGCAAUUACAGGAAAAGAAAACAAUUCAUUCAGAGGAAUUACGUGUGCUUACAAAUGUCUUCUGUGGCCUUUCUUCGUGUUUUACCACCAAGAACUUUGAGAGCUGGCAGGUCUGAGUGCCCCUGGUGGCUGUUCUUUUCAUUUUAGCAAAACCUGAGCUGAAAAACUGCCAUCAGCUGAUGAUGACAGCAAAGAGUGGCAGAGCUAAGGAUCUAAUAUUCAUUCCCAGGCUGCUGGAGAAUGAGUAAAUUGAUUCCAAAACUAAAUAAGGGAAGUCAGAAACUCUUUCCAACCUUACCUGAUGGCUUUUAGCCAAAGCAAGGAAGUGUCAUGGAAAGUGCUAAGUGAUGAUGGUAUACAAAAAGGGACUUGAGGAGAAGGAAGGAAAGAGCAGCACCAUUAAGGUAGGGGGAAAGCUAUGGAGAAAACCCUGAAUUCCUCACCAAAGGCCAACUUCAGAGGGGAGCAGAGGAGGUCACAAUCUAUGCUUUGGCCAAGGGUGGUAGUGGGAAGUGAAGAAAGGACAAUGGCUUGGAAGUGGGAGGGCAUCAUUUAAGACUAAAAAGAAAGAAACCAGGAGUGCAGAUGGAGUACUCCACACACACCCAGCUAUAGCCCCACAGGCUGUGACCCAAAACCUUCACACCUACUCUAGCAAGCCACCCCAAGCUAGAGGGCUGUUGCAGGGAGGGGGGAUGAAGGGAAGAAGGGAGAAAGGAAUUGAGGGAGGGGUGAGGGACGAGAAGGGGAGAAGGCAGAGACCCCAGGCCAUGUAAUCAGCAGCAAGGUGACUGUGUGAUUUGUCUUUUCAUAGUUGAGUUAGGUGUGCCCCACUGGUUACGAUGGCAAUCUAUUUAUACUUUCUUGAUCCCACAAGUUCAACUAUGUAGACAGUGAUUACACUUGACAGGAUUUGUUAUAGCACAACUUAUGUGUUUCAAAUGGACAAAAAAUUAGUAUCAUUUACAGUAUCUUAAAUUGCUUUUGAAGGGGAGCUUCCUUUCCAGUACUUCUAGGUCUAUAAGACAUAGCUAGAAAAUUUACUACUAUGGAAAAUAAGGGCUGCUUAAAUCAAAGGCUGGAGGGGAGAGGUCCUGUAGUUUCUCUUUUUGAUUAAUUGCUAUAACACUGUCCUUCCGGUGGCUGAGGGAGUUUCAUGUUUUCUUUAGCCAUCAUCAGGCUCCACAGCUCUUGCAGGACAACUUUAAUGCUAUAUGAAUCCUGCCAUUUUGCUAGCACUGGCAUGGUUCUUGGGUCCACCACUCCAUUAGAACUAUUAACUCCAUUCAUAUUAAUUUUUGUUACAAAUCUUACAAAAGGGAAUCUUCUGGGUAUUUAGCUCCACAUUCUAUUUUAAGGCUGUAUAUGAGAUUUUCAUAAAUUGUUCCUAGAGGCCUAAUUAUCAUCCUUGUCCAUCUUAUAAGUGUCAUGUCUUCAUCAUCUUCUAGACCCAGCUAACUGCCAUCUCCUAUUCCUUUCUGGCCUCCUUCUAGUUCUUCCAAGUCAAAAAUUGCAAGGGACUUUUACUCCUGAGCCCGUGGUGGCUGCCAUCUUGUGUCACUUUGUAUAUAUAUCAGCUACAAAAAACAUUAUCAUUAUUUGAACAAUGUCCAUUUAGAUUCAAUGACAUAUUUAUCUAUGUUGUUGCUCUUGAUUUUUCCUUUAUCUUUGAUCUCUUAAUCUGUAAUAAUUCUUUUGUAUAAGAACACCCUUUAGAAUUUUCUUCCUUGUGGAUAUGCUGGUGACAAACUCAGUUUUUGAAAUGUCUUCCUUUCUUAAGAAAUAUUUUGCCAGAUAAAUUUAAUUUGACAGUUAUUUUCUUCCAGCACAUCCAUAUACUGUCCUCUGGCUUCCACUGUUGAUGUAGAGAACUCAGUGGUCGGUUCAAGAGUUCUUUGAAUAUCAGUAUUUUUCCUCAUUUUGCUUUUACAUUAUCAUUGUCUUUAUUGUUAGUUUUUUUAUUGUAUUAGGAAUGACUGAUUUUCUUAAAUCUAUGAACUGGUAUCUUUCACUCAAAUAUUGUUUCUACCCUAUUCUCUCUUCUCUCCUUCUGGGGCUCCACUUAAAAGUACAUUAUACAUUAUCUCAGUAUCCUCUUUUGAUUAUUUUUCAGUUUUAGAAUGUCUAUUUGAUUCUUGUUCAAAUCUGUUAUUUUUUUUUUUUGAAGAUUUUAUGUAUUUGAGAGUGAGAAAAAGACAGCAGGGGUAGGGGGAAGGACAAGCAGAUUCCCCCGAGCAGGGAGCCCUAUGCGGGGCUCUAUCCCAGGACCCUGAGAUCAUGACCUGAGCCAAAGACAGAUGCUCAACUGACUGAGCCACCCAGACCCCCCUGUUAUUUUACACAUAUAUACUUUCCAGUCGCCUUCUAAAAUGUUCAAGCCUGGCUUUUAUGUACAGAACAUAAUAAAUAUUUCAUAGUUUAUCUGAUAAUUUUAAAAUCUGGAAUCCCUACUACUUGACUGUUGCUUAUGCUAGUUCUCACUCAUAUUGUGGAUCUAAUGAUCUUUCUCCCUUUGCUGAACACCUUAAAAACUUUAUUUGUAGUAAUAAUCUGAGACUUAAGCUGAUAUUACCUACUUCCAGAGAGAAUUUUCAUUUGAUUCUACCAGGUGCUUAAAGGCAACAGAAUUCCUAUUCCAAGUUCAAAAUUUAAGAUUUUCCCUAAAGAAAUCAGGCCACAGAUCUUGUAAGAUCAGUAUUUCCUCCAGUUUAUCCUCACUUCCAGCCUGCAGCUCUUUGAAAUGCUGACCGAAAGCAAGGGUUGUUUGCCAGGUACCAGGUUCUCAACCUCUGCAAGUCCUGACCUGAUAUUAUAAAUAGAAAUACAUACAUUUCUACAUACAGAUAUCUAUAUAUCUAAAGACAAAUAGUGUGUCCAAUGAUCCCUGCAGCUGUAUUUCCACCCUUGUGAAGGUUCCUUCUACAUUGUACCAGGAUCAGUGACUAGUAACAGAAGUAAUGGUAUAUCACUUCUAAGAUUAUAAAAGACUGGCAUCUGUCUUAGCUUCUCUGUCUUGGGGAAGCAAGUUCCAUGUGGUAAGCAGUCCCAUUCACAGGCCUCCAGCUAGGAGCCAAUAAGGAACUGAGGCCUGACAACCAUGUGAGUAAGCUCAGACUUGGAUUCUCUAGUCUACUUGAGCCCUCAGAUAACUGGAUCUCUUCAACAGUUUGACUGCAAACUCACAAGAGACUCUGAGCCAGAACCAAAACCCAGCAAAGCUGCUUCCACAGAAGCUGUAAGGUAAUACGUCUGCUUAUCAUACUAUAUGCAGUGUAUUUCAGUGAUCAUAAUUUUUAUUUCUACAAAUUAGCUUUGGCUCUUUUUAAAAAUCUGUUUUUUGAUAGUCUCUUGUUUGUUGCAAAUGCUUUUGCUUUCUACUUUGUCUAAAUUUUUUAAAUUUAUUUUUUAUUGGUGUUCAAUUUACCAAC